CUUUCCUGCAGGAUCUGACAGUCAUACUCUCGACUCUUCCUCAGCAUCUGCCUCCUCAAUUUCUCAACCGCAGUUCGGAGCUCAUCCCGCUGAAGCUCGUCCAGGGGCUCGCCGUAUUUGAUCACCUACAGAGAGGAGGGUGGGUUAUCCCCCAGGUAUAAAACAUGUCACAAUGUUCAGAUCAUGAUCUCAUAUUUUUCAACCGUUCUGCCCGUAAAGGAUCCUGAACUCUAAAAGUUCAUUCUGGUCCUUCGAGUCUUGGAGCUCCUGCUGCACCCGACUGCAUUCUGUCUCCACUUUUUCAACCUGGACACCACAAGGAAACGUCACCCAAAAAAGCUUUUUUUUUUUUCU